rnacentral:rRNA from 1 species
CCCGCCCCGCGCCUCCGCCGUCCCGUUUCGCCCACGCGGCGGAACGCCCAUCAGACAUGGACGACUCGCGCCACACGCUCCGUUAAAAAAAAAAAGCUUCUCUCCCAGCUCCCUCCCUCCCUCCCCGCGGCCUCGCUUUCCUCUCCUGUCCUCGGCAGCCUCGAGCAGCACCGUGCCGUGCGCGCGGCGAGAUGGCGUGCGCGGCCCCACCCAGCCUGGUCUCCCUGCCCGCGCGCCGCCGCAGCGCGACUGCCGCCGCGGCCGCCUACUACCACGCCCCCUCUACCCGGCUCUCGAAGCGUUCGUGGCUCUCCUCUGGAAACUCGCCCCGCUCUCGGCUGCGGGCCGAGGCCUCCAAGGCCGAGCCGGCCGAGGAGAGCCUUCCCGCCGCGCCGGGCCCGUCUGCCCCGUCGGAGCCCCUGCCCCAGGCACGUACCAGUACAUGGAAUUGGAAGGGCUAUAACAUUCGUUAUCAGUGCGCCGGAACGUCUGGCCCUGCACUGGUUCUAAUUCAUGGUUUCGGGGCAAACAGUGACCAUUGGCGGAAAAAUAUUCCUGUUCUUGCCAUGGCAAAUAGAGUUUAUGCAAUUGAUCUAAUUGGCUAUGGGUAUUCUGAUAAACCUAAUCCACGUGAGUUCGAAGAGAGCUUUUAUACUUUUGAGACUUGGGGAGAACAGUUGAAUACAUUUUGUGCUGAAGUUGUCAAGAGUGAUGCUUUCUUCAUAUGCAAUUCAAUUGGAGGGCUUGUUGGUCUGCAGGCAGCUGUUAUGGAACCCCAAACAUGCAAAGGUAUUGUUUUAUUGGAUAUUUCAUUAAGGAUGCUUCAUAUCAAUAAGCAGCCAUGGUUUGGAAGGCCUUUCAUCAGAUCAUUUCAAAAUCUCCUAAGGUAACUCACAUUUUAUGCUUUCUCGUUAUCUUGGUUUGCACUGGUAGUUUGGUAUAGUGCCUUUUCUGAUUGUCAGGAACACUGUUAUUGGGAAGCUCUUCUUUAAUGCUGUUGCAACACCAGAAUCCGUGAAAAAUAUUCUUUGUCAGUGUUACCAUGACACAUCCGCUGUCACAGAUGAAUUGGUUCAGAUGAUCUUGCAGCCAGGGCUUGAUCCCGGUGCUGUGGAUGUAUUCCUUGAGUUCAUCUGCUAUUCUGGAGGUCCUCUACCUGAAGACUUACUUCCCAUGGUGAAGUGUCCAGUUUUGGUAGCUUGGGGAGAGAAGGAUCCAUGGGAGCCUGUGGAACUUGGAAGAGCCUACGGGUCUUUUGAUGCUGUCGAAGAUUUUGUUGUCCUCCCGAAUGUUGGACACUGCCCUCAGGAUGAAGCACCUGAGCUUGUAAAUCCACUUGUUGAAUCAUUUGUUAAGCUCCAUAGUUAGUACGUACAUGGGUAGAUUGUUUCCUAUUUACAUGGGUACAUGGUCAACUCGAGCGAAGAGUUGCUGGAAUAUGGGGAUGCCAAUUUUACUUGAGGAUCACAAACGGUCCAUUCUUUUGUAGGCCGUGAACUUCCAUUUGAGCACUGACAGGAAACACAUUUAUAGCUGAGGUAUGAGACAUGAGGAGGAACUAUCUUAUUUCAUCUUAUUACAGCAGAAGAACCAGUCUCCUCAGAACGGAGAUCAGUAUGAGCAGCACAGGUGUUUUAUUCUGGUCGAAACUGUUGGAGGUUCAUCGAAAGUGAACGCAAGUUCAUAUAUAUGUAUAUAAUUUGGAGAAGUAGUGGCUAAUUUUCGUCCUUGUCUGCAUAGUCAAAGUUACCUAUCUUUUCACUUGAGGUUUCUUUGCAUACAGAAGAAGAGAUUUGAAGUGAUCUACAGUAUCUUAAGUAAAAAGUAUUUUCUCCCCUAGGAAUGCUUGACCAAAAUUUUAAAAUUUUCACUACUAUUACUAUUUUCAAUGCAACACUCUUGGUUGCGCUUUUCUGUAUUGUUCGAGCAGGUUUUAAAAUUCUGGCAUACUUUUUGUUUCACAUACGUGUGUAUCUGCACAGUAUUUGUUUUGUAUUCAGUUCUG